GCAUUCUUUAGAAACAGGCCAGAUCUGGUGCAGGUAAAAGAAAAAAAAAAGAUGACAUGGAAUCAUCUGGAUGUCCAGCUGAAGAGUUAGCAACAUUUUCCCACUGGCAAACUCCUUAACAAUGACAAACUAGAUUUACAAAACCUUUUGCAGGUCUACACCAUAGAACAAUCGCCCUCCAAUUUCUUCCCAUCCAAGGUUUGAAGGAUGGCUGUCUUUUCCUGCUUCCCACUCCUCCUCUUCAUCAUGGUAAAGACUGAAUACUUGGAGUCCAUUUUGAAUGAGAGGACUGAGCAGACCUGUUACUCCCUGAUCUCUUUUGGUACCCCUGGGGCAAAUGGGGCUCCUGGAAAAGAUGGAAGAGAUGGACUCAAGGGAGAACCAGUUUCUUUGAAUAAUCUGUCAACCUUGGAAAGAAAAAUCCAGGACCUUGAAAUGCAGCUGGAAAACAUCAACGAGUGGCAAUGGGGGUUAAGUGACUUGCCCAGGGUCACACAGCUAGUAAGUGUCAAGU